rnacentral:rRNA from 1 species
UACAGAGGGGGCAAGCGUUGUUCGGAAUUACUGGGCGUAAAGGGCGCGUAGGCGGCCUGUUAAGUCGAACGUGAAAUCCCCGGGCUCAACCCGGGAACUGCGUCCGAAACUGGCAGGCUUGAAUUCGGGAGAGGGAUGCGGAAUUCCAGGUGUAGCGGUGAAAUGCGCAGAUAUCAGGAGGAACACCGGUGGCGAAGGCGGGUCUCUGGGCCGAUACUGACGCUGAGGAGCGAAAGCGUGGGGAGCGAACAGG